rnacentral:rRNA from 1 species
CCAACCUAUUGGAGGGGGAUGCCUAAGGUAGGACUGAUGACUGGGGU